GUGCCAGCCGCUGCGGUAAGACGUAGGGCGCGAGCGUUGUCCGGAUUUAUUGGGCGUAAAGGGCUCGUAGGCGGCUCGUCGCGUCUGUCGUGAAAGGCUCCGGCUUAACUGGGGUUUGGCGGUGGAUACGGGCGGGCUUGAGGCCAGUAGGGGAGAUCGGAAUUCUACGUGUAGCGGUGAAAUGCGCAGAUAUGUGGAGGAACACCGGUGGCGAAGGCGGGUCUCUGGGCUGGUACUGACGCUGAGGAGCGAAAGCGUGGGAGCGAACAGGAUUAGAUACCCUGGUAGUCCAUGCUGUAACGGUGGCGCUAGGUGUGGGCCACGGUUGGUUGGUUCUGUGCCGUAGCUAACGCA
rnacentral:rRNA from 1 species